rnacentral:rRNA from 1 species
UACGAAGGGGGCUAGCGUUACUCGGAUUGACUGGGCGUAAAGGGCGCGUAGGCGGCUUGUACAGUCAGACGUGAAAUUCCUGGGCUCAACCUGGGGGGCUGCGUUUUGAUACGUGCGGGCUUGAGUUCGGAAGAGGGUCGUGGAAUUCCCAGUGUUAGAGGUGAAAUUCGUAGAUAUUGGGAAGAACACCGGUGGCGAAGGCGGCGACCUGGUCCGAUACUGACGCUGAGGCGCGAAAGCCAGGGGAGCAAACGGG